rnacentral:rRNA from 1 species
AGUUCGAUUAUAGCUCAGAUUGAACGCUGGCGGGAUGUACUUUACACAUGCAAGUCGAACGGCAGCACGGACGAAAAAAACUGAUGGUGAGUGGCGACAGGCCAGGUAAUGUAUCGGAACGUGCCUAAUGGCAGGGGAUAUCCGCAUGGCGCAGCUAAUACACAUACGCCCUUCAGGGGAAAGCGGGGGACCUUCGGGCCUCGCGCUAUUAAACAGCAAAUUAUCGGAUUAGCUAGUUGGUGGGGUAACGGCUCACCAAGGCGACGAUCCGCUCGCUGGUUUGAGGACGACCAGCCACACUGGGACUGAGACACGGCCAGGCUCCUACGGGAGAGCAGCAGUGGGGAAUUUUGGACAAUGGGGAAACCCUGAUCCAGCCAUCCCGCGUGUGCGAUGAAGGCCUUCGGGUUGUAAAGCACUUUUGGCAGGAAAGAAACGGCACGGGAUAAUACCCCGUGCAGCAAACGAUGCCUGCGAAUAAGCACCGGCUAACUACGUGCCAGCAGCCGCGGUAAUACGUAGGGUGCAAGCGUUAAUCGGAAUUACUGGGCGUAAAGCGUGCGCAGGCGGUUCGGAGAAAGAUGUGAAAUCCCAGAGCUUAACUUUGGAACUGCAUUUUUAACUACCGAGCUAGAGUGUGUCAGAGGGAGGUGGAAUUCCGCGUGUAGCAGUGAAAUGCGUAGAUAUGCGGAGGAACACCGAUGGCGGCGGCCUCCUGGGAUAACACUGACGCUCAUGCACGAAAGCGUGAGGCAAGGCAGGAUUAAAAUGCCUGGUAGUCCGCACGCCUAAACGAUGUCAACUAGCUGUUGGGGCCUUCUGGAGCCUUGUUGCUUCUGUAACGCCAUCAAGAAGUUGACCGCCUGGGAAGUACGGUCAUGUAGGAAUUAAACUCAAAGGAAUUGACGGGGACCCGCACAAGCGGUGGGUGAGUAACAUGGAUUAAUUCGAUGCAACGCGAAAAACCUUACCUACCCUUGACAUGUCUGAUCCCGAAGAUUUGGGGAGUGCCCGCAAGAGAAUCGGAACACAGGUGCUGCAUGGCUGUCGUCAGCUCGUGUCGUGAGAUGUUCUUGGGUUAAGUCCCGCAACGAGCGCAACCCUUGUCGUGGUGCUACAAAGGGCACUCUAAUGAGACUGCCGGUGACAAACCGGAAGGUGGGGAUGACGUCAAGUCCUCAUGGCCCAUAUGGGUAGGGCUUCACGUCAUACAAUGGUGCGGGACAGAGGUCGCCAACCCGCGAGGGAGCCGUCCCAGAAACCGAUCGUAGUCGCGGAUCCGCAGUCAUCUGAGCUGCGUGAAGUGGAAUCGCUAGUAAUCGCGGAUCAGCAUGUCGCAGUUGACCGUUCCCGGAGUCUUCAUGCACACCGCCCGUCACACCAUGGAGUGGGUUUUACCAGAAGUAGUUAGCCCCUGUAAACAUCAAGGAGGAGAAGUGACGUUACCUGCAGGCAGGAUUAUGACUGGUGAAGUCGUAACAAUUAG